rnacentral:rRNA from 1 species
GUGGGGAAUAUUGGGCAAUGGGGGAAACCCUGACCCAGCGACGCCGCGUGAGGGAAGAAGGCCUUAGGGUCGUAAACCUCUGUUGUGUGGGAAGAAGAGCGUGACGGUACCACACGAGGAAGUCCCGGCUAACUACGUGCCAGCAGCCGCGGUAAUACGUAGGGGACGAGCGUUGUCCGGAUUUACUGGGCGUAAAGGGCGCGUAGGCGGUCAUUUAAGUCAGCUGUGAAAUGGUUUGGCUUAACCGGAUCAUGCGGUUGAAACUGGAUGACUGGAGUGCUGGGGAGGCAAGUGGAAUUCCCAGUGUGGCGGUGAAAUGCGUAGAUAUUGGGAAGAACACCGGUGGCGAAGGCGACUUGCUGGCCAGCAACUGACGCUGAGGCGCGAAAGCCAGGGGAGCAAACGGGAUUAGAUACCCGUGUAGUCC